rnacentral:pre_miRNA from 1 species
UACGAGCGGGCCUGACUCUUUGCUCUGCCCGUACUGUUCCUGCUGGGUGAGCAAAGUUUCAGGUGUGUCCGUGA